rnacentral:lncRNA from 1 species
GGGGUGGUGGGUUGCAAACCAUGAAGUGCUAUAUAAAUUUUGUUAAAUGAAACAAAGUAAUAUAAAUGCCUAUUUCUUAUCUAUAGCAACCCAAGUCCACUGCAACUCGAAUACUGCAUUAAAUACAGUUAUUCAAAAUAUGCCUUAAGGUUACUUUAACUACUACUUGUAUCUAGGGAUACCGUUCCGUUUGAACAGCCUAAGAAUGUGAACAGAAUUCUUAGAGGAUGAGGUCAACACUUGUGUGCUUGACCCUUGACCUUCCCUUGCUGAAGGCAGACAGAGGUCAGUAGCUGAGUGGGAAGUGGGGGGUGGUGAUAUCUGUUUACUUGAGAGAAGGGAAAAUACUAACACAUUUUAAAGCAGCUGUGGUAAAAAUCCUUACUGGACCAUCAUAGUGGAUAAUUUCCAGACAGAUUAUAAUACUCCAUUUUUGUAUAAGGUGUUGCAUGGAAUGUAGAAACCCAGUUAUUAUUAUUUUUAUGAAUUAAAUAGAUAACAUGGAUGCAUUUUUUAUUUGUUUUUUCGUCUAGUUUCAGAUUGCUGAGAUGGAAUUGGUUGCCCUGGCAGGUUAUCUAUGCCAGGAAUGAGACAGGGAGAGUGUGCCCCAAUUGGUUCUGCUGGAUGUCAUAGCCGCUUUCAAUACUGUCUGUCACAGUAUCCUUCUGGGCUACUUGCUUCAGAUGGGACCCCGAGAAACAUGCCUAGAAGAUUGUGGUGCAAGAAACUUCCACUUGCUGUCUAGCAGGAUUCCAUCUUGCUGUUCAAUAUAUACAGGAAACAAAUAGAGGACAUCACCUGGAAUCUUCUGUCGUCAAUAUGCUGACAAUAUGCAGAUCUACUUACGCUUUACAUCUAACUCCGUGCAGAAGCAGUGGGGAUUCUGAACCACUGUCCAAAACUGGUGAUGGGCUAGAUGAGACUAACAAACCAAAACUUAUGGGAUUACUGUAACAUGCUGUACAUAGGACUGCCUUAGAAGACUGUUCGUGAACUUCUGCUGGUUCAAAACACAGCAGCACAACUCCUUAAUGGGCGCUGGCACAACUCUUCUUUUAUAACAGCUGCUGUGGCUGCUAGAACAUUUCUGGGGUCAACUCAAAGUGCCGGGUAUCACCUUCAAAGCUGAACUGCUCUGGCAAAUUCCAUCUGCUACAUUUAGCAGGAGAGGCCAUUCAAUGUUUACCAUCACCAUCAGAAAUGUGCUCUCUCCUUAGUUGUUUUUUGUUAUACAGUACUUGUUUUCUUGUUUCAGCAACCCUUUGACCUCCCUUAUGCAAUUUGGUUUUUCCUCCCAAUAACUUUUUAAAAACUUGUUGUGCUUUUCUGUUUUCAAAUUGUUAUAUUGUCAUUUUUUAAAAAAACGUAUUGGGCUAAUUGCUUUAGACAUUUCAUUAACAAGUCAAAAGGAGGGCUAGGUAAAGGCAAAGGGACCCCUGACCAUUAGGUCCAGUCACGGACGACUCUGGGGUUGCGGCGCUCAUCUGGCUUUACUGGCCAAGGGAGCCGGCAUACAGCUUCCGGGUCAUGUGGCCAGCAUGACUAAGCCACUUCUGGUGAACCAGAGCAGUGCACGUAAACGUCGUUUACCUUCCCGCUGGAGCAGUACCUAUUUAUCUACUUGCACUUUGGCGUGCUUUCAAACUGCUAGGUUGGCAGGAGCAG